GCUCGCGCUGCGCAGUCGCUGGGACCGGGACGGCAGAGUCAGCGCGCCCGGCGGUCACUAGGAGACGGAGCUUGGGGAUGCUGCGCCUACACGGAGCCGCACCCAUCGGUCCGUCCUGAGAUCCUGGGACCUCGCCCACACCCGGCUAGUCGCUCAUGGAGCUGCCAGGCUACCCUCAGGAGAUGUGCAACUGACCUCUUCCACGCUCCCACAGCAGUAAAGUGUUCUACCGACAGCUCACUUCCUUCCAACAUUCUACAAUGGCAGACUUCUUCAGGGUCACUAAAUGCCAGAAGUUUAUUAGCUAAUCUAGUCAGCCUCAAGGAGUACUUUGCUAAUCUUCCUAACCUAUAAGAUGAUAGGUACUGGAGUUUUCUGGGUCAGAAGGGAACAGCGCCAAUGGUCUUCCAUCUUCAUAAGAAGUAGGAACAGAGAUCUCUGCUGGCACUCCUGGUUGUCCCUACACAGAAGCGAAAACAAUAAAGACAUGGCUUCUGGCCCUAGUA